rnacentral:miRNA from 14 species
GCCGUUGGCAUCUGGCACUGUGGUCCCUGCAUGGAAACAGUGACCAGUGGGGCCUGGACCUACAAUACCACCUCUGCAGAGACAGUGAAGUCUGCC